UUGGAAACUCGCUCUCUCUCCCCGGUAUCUCACCGCUGAGUCGCUGCAGAAUUUCAAGAUGUAAAACACAGAAAAGCAGAAGCCCCAAAGAGAAAACAGAACAAAGGCUGAGCUGUCUUACUGCAAGCCCUGGGAUACUCCACCCUUCCCCACCCCUCAAAGGCAUCUCUGAAGUCUUCCUAGGCUGGGAGGGGCCCAUUUUGAAAACCCUUAAAUCCAGCUUCUCAUUCUGCCGCUGAAGAAAUUAAACCUGGAGGGGCUGGGACCUGCCUAGGGCUGCACUGUGAGUUUGUGAGAGAACCAAUACUAGGACCUGGGCCUGUGGCUUGUCUGUCAGCUCAGCAUUUUCUCCCCCUCUACCAACACUACUCAGAUGUUACAAGUCUUCCCCAAAUAAUUCAGUGGUUAAAUAGAUGAGGCGGAACCUUGAUAAAGCCGUCAACUUGGCAGAGGUUGACUCCCUAAAACAAUUUACCUUCUCGCCCUUGUCAGGUUGGUCAGAUGUCCCUCCUUUGCCCACCUUUCCUAUCAUGUUCCACGAUGUACCAAAGUUAUCUGUUUACAUCAGAGAUCAUAAAUUGGCCUGCACAGUGUAUCCAACUACCUUGAAUUGGUUGUCAACAUUUAAAACUCAGAAGGUCUUGUCUAAAACUUUGGAUUUCCACCUUCUGUCGAGAAUGAGAAGUUCUAGCAACAUUGAGCCCUCCAACUAUUGGUAACAACCCCACGAGCUCAGCAGAGGGAGGCAUGCCUUCUCCCACUUGUCCUAGUCCCCCGCUGGUCCACACCUACUUGUGGCCACUGGUGUCUGCUCUGUAUAGGCAUCUGAAUUUGUGACCCAGGGUCUAAAGCUUAUGUCUACAGAAGCAUUUUUGAGAAUUGACCUUUUAGGAACCACGGUGAACCUAGAAUACAGAUACAGGGGGUCAUCUAAUUUCAAAAGAUGAGGCGGAUGUCAUCAUAAAUAAUGCUGCUUUCCUGCACCGAUUAAAGAGGAAACUUUCACA